rnacentral:lncRNA from 1 species
CAGAGCCAGGAGGGCGCAGGCCGUUUGCCAGGCCAGGCGGGGACCCUUCUCGCCGCGCCGGCCGCCAGGGGCCGCUUGUAGAACCCGCUGUGAAUUGUGAAUUCGUUGGAAUUGUGAAUAUUCUUUUGAAAUAUGGAGCCCAGCUAAAUGAACUUCAUUUGGCAUACUGCCUGAAGUAUGAGAAGUUUUCAGUGUUUCGCUACUUUUUGAAGAAAGGUUGCCUGUUGGCACCAUGGAACCAUAUAUCUGAAUUUAUAAAUCAUGCAAUUAAUGCACAGAUAAAAUACAAGGAAUGGUUGCCACAUCUCCUGCUUGCUGGAUUUGACCCAUUGACUCUACUCUGCAGUUCUUGGAUUGACUCAGUCAGCGAUGACAUUCUCAUCUUCACUUUGGAAUUUACUAAUUGGAAGAGACUACCUCCAACUGUUGAAAAGAUGCUCUCUGCUCGUGCCUCAAACUCCUCCUGGGUUCUGCAACAAUGGAUUGAUGGGAGGCUCCCACUAUGUUGACCAGGCUGUAUUUGACUCCUGGGCUCAAGUAAUCCUCCCACCUCAGUCUUUGAAGUAACUGGGACUACAGCUGCUGUUCCAUCCCUAACACAUCUUUGUCGUUUGAAAAUUCGGUCCAGCCUAAAGCCAGAGCACCUCCUCUCUGACAGUUUUAUCCAGCAGCUGCCACUUCCCAGAAGCCUGCAUAGCUAUUUGCUCUAUGAAGAGGUUCUGAGGAUGAAUGAGAUUCCAGAACUGGAGUCACUCAUGAUGGAGAAGUGAGUGAAGCAACUUAACACAGCUCAUUGAAAACCAUCAAGACAAAAGAGCUGUGGAAUGCAAAAGUGUUCAUGAUUUUAUUUCACAAAAGAUGAUGUUUGUUUGUGUGGUUGGGUAGGUUUUGGGGACAGUAGUAAAUAAAUGUGAAUGUUUACAAGUGGGCUCAGUAAAAACAUAUUAUAAACAUCACUGAUGCUACUUUAUUGCAGUUCAUCACCAGUGCACACUUUGUGUUGUAAAACCUAACAAUUUUCUGCUUUAUUCUGCUAAUGAACUGUGAUGCUGCUUCUAGUGCUAGACAUGGCAUAUUUCUACCUAUGAUUCAUGUUUACCUGGUUCUAGGAGCUAAGAAUGGAAUGUAUAACACUUCACUUGAAGUGUAUACAACUGUGGUUUUGAAUCUGUUAUUAUUGUUGUUAUUAUUUUAGUUGGGGCUGAAUAUCUUAUGUUUAUUAAAGUUUUUCUAUCUUGAAAAAAAAAAA